CAGUCGAACGCCCAUUUCGGUGGUGAGUGGCGAACGGGUGAGUAAAAGAUAAGUAACCUGCCCUAGGCAGGGGGAUAACGACCGGAAACGGACGCUAAAACCGCAUAGGCUGGGAGAUCGCAUGAGAAUCCAGUUAAAUGUCCUGAAAGGGACAGGCAAAGGAGGGACUUAUCACGCAUUAGCUAGUUGGUGGGGCAACGGCCUACCAAGGCGACGAUGCGUAGCCGGCCUGAGAGGGCGGACGGCCACACUGGGACUGAGACACGGCCCAGACUCCUACGGGAGGCAGCAGUAGGGAAUUUUCGGCAAUGGGCGAAAGCCUGACCGAGCAACGCCGCGUGAACGAAGAAGGUCUUCGGAUUGUAAAGUUCUGUUAUAGAGGAAGAACGGUGUACGUAGGAAAUGACGUACAAGUGACGGUACUCUGUGAGGAAGCCACGGCUAACUACGUGCCAGCAGCCGCGGUAAUACGUAGGUGGCGAGCGUUAUCCGGAAUCAUUGGGCGUAAAGAGGGAGCAGGCGGCCUGGAGGGUCUAUUGUUAAAAGGCAGUGGCUUAACCAUUGCAAGGCGAAGAAACCGGCAGGCUAGAGUUCUAAAGAGGAUCGUGGAAUUCCAUGUGUAGCGGUGAAAUGCGUAGAUAUAUGGAGGAACACCAGUGGCGAAGGCGACGAUCUGGGAAGAAACAGACGCUGAGUCCCGAAAGCGUGGGGAGCAAAUAGGAUUAGAUACCCUGGUAGUCCACGCCGUAAACGAUGAGUACUAGCUGUCGGAGGUUACCCCCUUCGGUGGCGCAGCUAACGCAUUAAGUACUCCGCCUGGGAAGUACGCUCGCAAGAGUGAA
rnacentral:rRNA from 1 species